AUACCGGCUGCUCGAGUGAUGGCCACUAUUACUGGGUUUAAAGCGUCCGUAGCUUGACUGUUAGGUCUCUUGGGAAAUCUUCACGCUCAACGUGAAGGCGUCUAAGAGAUACCGGCAGUCUUGGAACUGGGAGAGGUAAACCGUACUUCGGGGGUAGGAGUGAAAUCUUGUAAUCCUCGAGGGACGACCUAUGGCGAAGGCAGUUUACCAGAACAGCUUCGACAGUGAGGGACGAAAGCUGGGGGAGCAAACGGGAUUAGAUACCCCGGUAGACCCAGCCGUAAACAAUGUGCGUUAGGUGUGUCGGUAACCACGUGUUACUGAUGCGCCGAAGAGAAAUCGUGAAACGCACCACCUGGGAAGUACGGUCGCAAGGCUGAAACUUAAAGGAAUUGGCGGGG
rnacentral:rRNA from 1 species